GGUGGGAUGGAUGGGGUGGGUGGGGACACCUUUGGGAUGGGUGGGAUGAGUGGGGUUCGCAUUGGGAAUGGUGGGAGGGGUGGGAUGGAUGGGAUGGGAGGGAUCAUUGGUGGGAUGGGUGGAAUCAGUGGGAUGGAUGGGAUGGGUGGGAUGAUGGGAUGGAUGGGAUUACGGCUGGGAUGGAUGGGGUCAUCGGUGGGCUUAUGGGAUGGUGGAAUGGGUGGGAUCACCAGUGGGGUCAUGGGACCAAUGGGUGACAUGGGUGGGGUCACCAAUGGGAUCAUCGGUGACAUCAGAGGGAUCAAUAGGAUCACUGGAAUGGAUGGGAACAUCAGUGGGAUGGAUGGGAUCAUCAGUGGGGUCAUGGGAUGGAUGGUCGACAUGGGUGAGGUCACUAGUGGCAUCAGUGGGAUCAGUGGGAUCGCUAGGAUGGAUGGGAUCAUCAGCGGCAUCCAUAGGAUCAGUGGGAUCAGUGGGAUGGAUGGGAUCAUCGGUGGGGUCAUGGGGUUGAUGGGUGACAUGGGUGGGAUCAGGGAUGGAAUCAUCAGCAGCAUCCAUAGGGUCAGUGGGAUCAGUGGGAUGGAUGGGAUCAUCAGUGGGGUCAUGGGAUCAUCAGUGGCGUUCAUGGGAUCAGUGGGAUCAGUGGGAUGGAUGGGAUCAUCAGUGAGGUCAUGGGAUCAGUGGGAUCGCUGGUGUGGAUGGGAUAAUCACUGGGAUCCAUGGGGUCAGUGGGAUCUUUGGGAUGGAUGGGAUCAUUGUUGGGGUCAUGAGAUCAGUGGGAUUACUGGAAUGGGUGGGAUCAUUGGUGGGAUCGGCGUAGUGGAUGGGAUCAGUGGGAUCAUCAGCGGGAUGUAUGGGAACACUGAGACUGGGAUAGCUGGGAUGGAUGGGAUCAGCAGCGGCGUCAUGGGAUCGAUGGUGACAUCACCAGUGGGAUCAUGGGUGGCAUCAGGGGGAUCGUUGGGAUGGGUGGGAUCACUGAGGGAUGGAUGGGAUGGGUCGGAUCGCUGCUGGCAUCAGUGGGAUCGGGGGGACCAAUGGCAUUGCUGGGAUCGCAUGGAUGGAUGGGAUCGUCGGUGGGUUAUGGGAUCAAUGGGUGACAUGGGUGGGACCAUGGAUGGGAUCAAUGGGAUGGUUGGGAUCAAUGGUGGGAUCAAUGGGAUGGAUGGGAUCGUCGGUGGGGUUAUGGGAUCAAUGGGUGACAUGGGUGGGGUCACUGGUGGGAUCAUGGGUGGCAUCAGUGAGAUCAGUGGGGUCGCUGGGAUGGAUGGGAUCAUCACUGGGAUUGUUGGGGUUGGUGGGACGGAUGGGAUCAUCACUGGGAUUGGUGGGAUGGAUGGGAUGGAUGGGAUCAUCACUGGGAUGGAUGGGAUCAUCACUGGGAUUGGUGGGACGGAUGGGAUCAUACUGGGAUGGAUGGGAUCAUACUGGGAUGGAUGGGAUCAUCACUGGGAUUGAUGGGACGGGUGGAAUCAUACUGGGAUGGAUGGGAUCAUCAGUGGGAUUGGUGGGAUGGAUGGGAUGGAUGGGAUCAUCACUGGGAUGGAUGGGAUCAUCACAGGGAUUGGGGGGAUGGAUGGGAUCAUACGGGGAUGGAUGGGAUCAUCACUGGGAUUGGUGGGAUGGAUGGGAUCAUACUGGGAUGGAUGGGAUAAUCACUGGGAUUGGUGGGAUGGAUGGGAUCAUACUGGGAUGGAUGGGAUAAUCACUGGGAUUGGUGGGAUUGGAGGGAUGGAUGGGAUCAUCACUGGGAUUGGUGGGAUGGAUGGGAUCAUACUGGGAUGGAUGGGAUCAUCACUGGGAUUGGUGGGAUCACUGGGAUCGGUGGGAUCGCUGGGAUGGAUGGGAUCACUGAGAUGUCUGGGAUUGGUGGGAUGGGUGGGAUCAACACUGACGUCAUGUGAUCGAUGGUGACAUGGAUGGGAUCACAAAUGGGAUCAUAGUUGGUAUCAGAGGGAUCACUGGGAUGGAUGGGAUCAUUGGUGGGACUGCUGGGACGUGCGGGAUGGAUGGGAUCAUCAGUGGGGUCACGGGACCAAUGGGUCACUGGUGGCAUCAUCGGUGGGAUCAGUGGGAUUGCUGGUAUCACUGGGAUAAAUGGGACCAUCUGUAGGAUGGGUUGGAUUGCUGGGGGGGUCAUGGGAUCAAUGGGAGACACGUCACCAUUGGGAUCAUCGUGGGGUCAUGGGAUCAAUGGGAGACAUGUCACCAUUGGGAUCAUCGUGGGGUCAUGGGAUCAAUGGGAGACACGUCACCAUUGGGAUCAUUGGUGGGGUCAUGGGAUGGAUGGGCGACAUGACACCAUUGGGAUCAUUGGUGGGGUCAUGGGAUCAAUGGGAGACACGUCACCAUUGGGAUCACUGGUGUGGUCAUAGGAUGGAUGAGUGACGUCACCAUUGGGAACACUGGUGUGGUCAUAGGAUGGAUGGGUGAUGUCUCCAUUGGGAUCAUCGGUGGGGUCAUGGGAUCAAUGGGUGACAUGACACCAUUGGGAUCAUCGGUGGGGUCAUGGGAUGGAUGGGUGACACGUCACCAUUGGGAUCAUCGGUGGGGUCAUGGGAUCAACGUGUGACAUGACACCAUUGGGAUCAUCGGUGGGGACAUGGGAUGGAUGGGUGACGUCACCAUUGGGAUCAUCAGUGGGGUCAUGGGAUCAAUGGGAGACACAUCACCAUUGGGAUCAUCGGUGGGGUCAUGGGAUCAAUGGGAGACACGUCACCAUUGGGAUCAUCGGUGGGGUUAUGGGAUCAAUGGGGGACGUCACCAUUGGGAUCAUCAGUGGGGUCAUGGGAUGGAUGGGUGAUGUCACCGUUGGGAUCAUCGGUGGGGUCAUGGGAUCAGUGGGAGACAUGUCACCAAUGGGAUCAUCAAUGGGGUUACGGGAUGGAUGGGUGACACGUCACCAUUGGGAUCAUCGGUGGGGUCAUGGGAUGGAUGGGUGACGUCACCAUUGGGAUCAUCGGUGGGGUCAUGGGAUCAGUGGGAGACACGUCACCAUUGGGAUCAUCGGUGGGGAUACCGGAUCAAUGGGUGACAUCACCAUUGGGAUCAUCGUUGGGGUCAUGGAAUAGAUGGGUGACAUCACCAUUGGGAUCAUCGGUGGGGUCAUGGGAUCAGUGGGAGACACGUCACCAUUGGGAUCAUCGGUGGGGAUACCGGAUCAAUGGGUGACAUCACCAUUGGGAUCAUCGUUGGGGGUCAUGGAAUAGAUGGGUGACGUCACCAUUGGGAUCAUCGGUGGGGUCAUGGGUUCGAUGGGAGACAUGUCACUAUUGGGAUCAUCGGUGGGGUUAUGGGAUCGAUGGGAGACAUGACACCAUUGGGAUCAUCGAUGGGGUCAUGGGAUGGAUGGGUGACACGUCACCAUUG
ensembl:lncRNA